UAACUGGAGGAAGGUGGGGAUGACGUCAAGUCAUCAUGGCCCUUACGACCAGGGCUACACACGUGCUACAAUGGCGCAUACAAAGAGAAGCGACCUCGCGAGAGCAAGCGGACCUCAUAAAGUGCGUCGUAGUCCGGAUUGGAGUCUGCAACUCGACUCCAUGAAGUCGGAAUCGCUAGUAAUCGUGGAUCAGAAUGCCACGGUGAAUACGUUCCCGGGCCUUGUACACACCGCCCGUCACACCAUGGGAGUGGGUUGCAAAAGAAGUAGGUAGCUUAACCUUCGGGAGGGCGCUUACCACUGUGUGACUCAUGACUGGGGUGAAGUCGAUAACGAGCUCC
rnacentral:rRNA from 1 species